rnacentral:rRNA from 1 species
AGUGAACGCUGGCGGUAGGCCUAACACAUGCAAGUCGAACGGCAGCACAGUAAGAGCUUGCUCUUACGGGUGGCGAGUGGCGGACGGGUGAGGAAUACAUCGGAAUCUACUUUUUCGUGGGGGAUAACGUAGGGAAACUUACGCUAAUACCGCAUACGACCUACGGGUGAAAGCAGGGGAUCUUCGUACCUUGCGCGAUUGAAUGAGCCGAUGUCGGAUUAGCUAGUUGGCGGGGUAAAGGCCCACCAAGGCGACGAUCCGUAGCUGGUCUGAGAGGAUGAUCGGCCACACUGGAACGGGGACACGGUCCAGACUCCUACGGGAGGCAGCAGUGGGGAAUAUUGGACAAUGGGCGCAAGCCUGAUCCAGCCAUACCGCGUGGGUGAAGAAGGCCUUCGGGUUGUAAAGCCCUUUUGUUGGGAAAGAAGAGCAGCAGGUUAAUACCCCGCUGUUCUGACGGUACCCAAAGAAUAAGCACCGGCUAACUUCGUG